rnacentral:rRNA from 1 species
AUUGAACGCUGGCGGCAGGCCUAACACAUGCAAGUCGAGCGGAUGAGAAAAGCUUGCUUUUUGAUUCAGCGGCGGACGGGUGAGUAAUGCCUAGGAAUCUGCCUGUUAGUGGGGGAUAACUCGGGGAAACUCGGGCUAAUACCGCAUACGUCCUACGGGAGAAAGUGGGGGAUCUUCGGACCUCACGCUAACAGAUGAGCCUAGGUCGGAUUAGCUAGUAGGUGAGGUAAUGGCUCACCUAGGCGACGAUCCGUAACUGGUCUGAGAGGAUGAGCAGUCACACUGGAACUGAGACACGGUCCAGACGCCUACGGGAGGCAGCAGUGGGGAAUAUUGGACAAUGGGCGAAAGCCUGAUCCAGCCAUGCCGCGUGUGUGAAGAAGGUCUUCGGAUUGUAAAGCACUUUAAGUUGGGAGGAAGGGUAUUCACCUAAUACGUGGGUACUUUGACGUUACCAACAGAAUAAGCACCGGCUAACUCUGUGCCAGCCGCCGCAGUAACAC